ensembl:snRNA U2 U2 spliceosomal RNA
AUCACUUCUCGGCCUUUUGGCUAAGAUCAAGUGUAGUAUCUGUUCUUAUCAGUUUAAUAUCUGAUACAUCCUCUAUAUGAGGACUACAUAUUAAAUUGAUUUUUAGGACAGGGAGACGGAAGAGGUCCGCUUGCUCCGUCCACUCCGCGCAUCGAGGGGCAGUCAUG